UUUUCUCCGGAUACACAAAAGUGACUCUCUUCCACCUUAGACUCACGACUACUAUGAACAGUCAAUUGAUCGUUUAGUCUUGAACGAGUGUUAAAUACACACAUUGGCAAUAUACAUGCAUGUGCACGUGGUAGCUAGUGUAUUGCAUUCCAGUCAACAUGACUAUAUGACAUCCAUCUUUCCCUGUCAUCCAACUGACUGGAAUCCAUGGUUAACUUUGUCUCAGGUUGACGACGUGGAGAGGACCAUUGGAGUGGACAGUGACUACGUGAAGACAACAGACUUUCAGCUAGAGGACGGGGAUAAAAUGUUUCUCUUUCAGCGAGGAGCCACCGGUGCUCGAGCGUUCCUGCGGACGUACAUCGCAAAGAACGACAUGAAGCCUACAAAAUCCGCCACGUGCUGUUCGCUCCUUAGCCGAGAAAAGUUGCCAAGCCGGAGAGCCCAGCUAGUAACAAUAUCUAAGUUUGUGUGGAAGUGCAUAUGGCAUGGCCUAGAAUAUCAUCGGGAUGGUUAUGGAGAAAGAUGAUUGUAUUUGAAUCGAUUUUCUCAUUAUUUCGGAUAUAACGACCCAUGGCAACAUAUUGCACAAGUUAUAUACAUUCUUAUCGAAGGGUUCCUGUAGUGGCAAUGAGAAUUUAACAAGCGUUUUAUGAUCAUGACCUUGCUGUUGGUGUUGUAUUUCUGUUGUUUUAUACGCUAUUGCCGUUUUGUCACAGACGCUUGGGGAAAAUAGCUUUCUUGAGUUUUUUUCAUUUGAUAUUAUUUGCUUUUAUGGUUCAGUUAUUGUUCUUAUUUCAUUAUCUUAAGCGCAUUUCCAAAUAUAGUUAUACAUAUGUGAUUGAAGUAGGUGUAAAAACAGUAGUAUAUAUUCACACUUAUCAUUGUAAUUUUGCUUUGCCAAUAUUUUUACUUUAAAAAAACUGCCAUGCUCUUUAAUCAAGUGUAGCAAGCGAUAAUGAACUAUGUAUCUUCUACCUGCACCUUGAUUUACAUGUUUGCCGUCUAUUCGCUCAAUCAGAAAGAAAACACCGCAGAAAAAUCAGUAAUUGGUGUAUUUUUGCCAAUUUUGGUGUUUGCAGUUUGUUUUGUGUUCAGACGCUGAGUUGUUGAGGUGGACACAAUUAUUUUCUCAUGUAUUCGAACUCAUUUGGGAUCUGUAUAAUCAUGGUUGCCAAAUUCGUUAAGAGAACUUUGAGAUUGCUGUUCAACGGUCGCUUUGUAAAAUCGCCUCGUGACGGCCAGACGUGGUACUACAGGUUACUGUGAAUGAGUUGCGAAACGGUGCGUUUUUACUUGAAUGAGGUUUAAACUUGUGUAUUUUUUGUCCUACUAAACAAUGUACAUCGUUUGGCAUAUCACUUUCUGCGCAAGAUAUAGGCAGAUGUACUGGAGUACCACGUGUCUGUUAUGGGUCAGUGUACUAACAAAGAACCUACGUACAUAAAGACCCAAGUUGUAACUUUACCGUUUCAAAAAGUAAGACAAAGUUUCAACUACCUACACUUUGUGCUUUGUAGCCAUGUGUUGAAUAAAAACUUUAAACGUGA